rnacentral:rRNA from 1 species
UACGUAGGGAGCGAGCGUUGUUCGGAGUUACUGGGCGUAAAGGGUGUGUAGGCGGUUUUCUAAGUUUGGUGUGAAAUCUCCCGGCUCAACCGGGAGGGUGCGCCGAAAACUGGGAGACUAGAGUGCGGGAUGGGAGAGUAGAAUUCCUGGUGUAGCGGUGAAAUGCGUAGAUAUCAGGAGGAACACCGAUGGCGAAGGCAGGUCUCUGGGCAUUAACUGACGCUGAGGAGCGAAAGCAUGGGGAGCGAACAGG